rnacentral:rRNA from 1 species
GUAGGGAAUCUUGCGCAAUGGGCGAAAGCCUGACGCAGCCAUGCCGCGUGAAUGAUGAAGGUCUUAGGAUUGUAAAAUUCUUUCACCGGGGACGAUAAUGACGGUACCCGGAGAAGAAGCCCCGGCUAACUUCGUGCCAGCAGCCGCGGUAAUACGAAGGGGGCUAGCGUUGCUCGGAAUUACUGGGCGUAAAGGGCGCGUAGGCGGACAGCUUAGUCAGAGGUGAAAGCCCAGGGCUCAACCUUGGAAUUGCCUUUGAUACUGGCUGUCUUGAGUUUGGGAGAGGUGAGUGGAACUCCGAGUGUAGAGGUGAAAUUCGUAGAUAUUCGGAAGAACACCAGUGGCGAAGGCGACUCACUGGCCCAAUACUGACGCUGAGGCGCGAAAGCGUGGGGAGCAAACAGGAUUAGAUACCCCUAGUAGUCC